rnacentral:lncRNA from 1 species
ACAGAGACAGAGAGACAGACUCCAGUUAUACACAGAGACAGAGACAGAGAGACAGACUCCAGUUAUAAACAGAGACAGAGAGACAGACUCCAGUUAUAAACAGAGACAGAGAGACAGACUCCAGUUAUAAACAGAGACAGAGAGACAGACUCCAGUUAUAGACAGAGACAGAGAGACAGACUCCAGUUAUAAACAGAGACAGAGACAGAGAGACAGACUCCAGUUAUACACAGAGACAGAGACAGAGAGACAGACUCCAGUUAUACACAGAGACAGAGACAGAGAGACAGACUCCAGUUAUAAACAGAGACAGAGAGACAGACUCCAGUUAUAAACAGAGACAGAGAGACAGACUCCAGUUAUAAACAGAGACAGAGAGACAGACUCCAGUUAUACACAGAGACACAGAGACAGAGAGACAGACUCCAGUUAUACACAGAGACACAGAGACAGAGAGACAGACUCCAGUUAUAAACAGUAGUAGUCAGUAGUCUAGGUGACAGUAGGGUGGUAGUCUAGGUGACAGUGUGGUGGUAGUCUAGGGGGCAGUGUGGUGGUAGUCUAGGGGACAGUGUGGUGGUAGUCUAGGUAACAGUGUGGUGGUAGUCUAGGGGACAGUGUGGUGGUAGUCUAGGGGACAGUGUGGUGGUAGUCUAGGGGACAGUGUGGUGGUAGUCUAGGGGACAGUGUGGUGGUAGUCUAGGUAACAGUGUGGUGGUAGUCUAGGUAACAGUGUGGUGGUAGUCUAGGUGACAGUGUGGUGGUAGUCUAGGUGACAGUGUGGUGGUAGUCUAGGGGACAGUGUGGUGGUAGUCUAGGUAACAGUGUGGUGGUAGUCUAGGUAACAGUGUGGUGGUAGUCUAGGUAACAGUGUGGUGGUAGUCUAGGGGACAGUGUGGUGGUAGUCUAGGUAACAGUGUGGUGGUAGUCUAGGUAACAGUGUGGUGGUAGUCUAGGUGACAGUGGGUGGUAGUCUAGGUGACAGUGUGGUGGUAGUCUAGGUGACAGUGUGGUGGUAGUCUAGGUGACAGUGUGGUGGUAGUCUAGGGGGCAGUGUGGUGGUAGUCUAGGUGACAGUGUGGUGGUAGUCUAGGUGACAGUGUGGUGGUAGUCUAGGUGACAGUAGGGUGGUAGUCUAGGGGACAGUGUGGUGGUAGUCUAGGUGACAGUGUGGUGGUAGUCUAGGUGACAGUAGGGUGGUAGUCUAGGGGGCAGUGUGGUGGUAGUCUAGGUGACAGUGUGGUGGUAGUCUAGGUGACAGUGUGGUGGUAGUCUAGGUGACAGUAGGGUGGUAGUCUAGGUGACAGUAGGGUGGUAGUCUAGGUAACAGUGUGGUGGUAGUCUAGGGGACAGUGUGGUGGUAGUCUAGGUGACAGUAGGGUGGUAGUCUAGGGGACAGUGUGGUGGUAGUCUAGGGGACAGUGUGGUGGUAGUCUAGGUGACAGUAGGGUGGUAGUCUAGGUGACAGUAGGGUGGUAGUCUAGGUGACAGUGUGGUGGUAGUCUAGGUGACAGUGUGGUGGUAGUCUAGGGGACAGUGUGGUGGUAGUCUAGGGGACAGUAGGGUGGUAGUCUAGGUGACGGCCAGGACAGAAGUUGAUCUUAGAUUUCCAAAAACAUGAAGACAUCCUAACCCAUUACACACACACACACACACAAACAACUACACACAUAUACACACAUAUACACACACAUGUGCACACACACACACAAGCAUACAGACACACAAACAUACACACACACACACACACACACAGCCAAGCACCGCCACUCCCCCUUUAGACAGGACAGAAUGUAAACCAUCUAAGAAUUUGAUUCGCUGUCUGUCUGUCUGUCUGUCUGUCUGUCUGUCUGUCUGUCUGUCUGUCUGUCUGUCUGUCUGUCUGUCUGUCUGUCUGUCUGUCUGUCUGUCUGUCUGUCUGUCUGUCUGUGUGUGUGUGUGUGUGUGUCAGAGAAGGAAGGGGACCCUCAUAUACAGUUGAAGUCGGAAGUUUACGUCCACUUAGGUUGGAGUAAUUUAAAACUCAUUUUUCAUCCACUCCACAAAUUUCUUGUUAACAAACUAUAGUUUUGGCAAGUCGGUUAGGACGUCUACUUUGUGCAUGACACAAGUAAUUUUUCCAACUAUUUUUUACAGACUGAUUAUUUCACUUAUAAUUCACUGUAUCACAAUUUCAGUGGGUCAGAAGUUUACAUACACUAAGUUGACUGUGCCUUUAAACAGCUUGGAAAAUUCCAGAAAAUUAUGUCAUGGCUUUAGAAGCUUCUGAUAGGCUAAUUGACAUUUGAGUCAAUUGGAGGUGUACCUGUGGAUGUGUUUCAAGGCCUACCUUCAAACUCAGUGCCUCUUUGCUUGACAUCAUGUGAAAAUCAAAAGAAAUCAGCCAAGACCUCAGAAAAAAUUAUAGACCUCCACAAGUCUGGUUCAUCAUUGGGAGCAAUUUCCAAAUGCCUGAAGGUACCAUGUUCUUCUGUACAAACAAUAGUACCUGAAAAUAGCUGUGCAGCAACGCUCCCCAUCCAACCUGACAGAGCUUCAGAGGAUCUGCAGAGAAGAAUGGGAGAAACUCCCCAAAUACAGGUGUGCCAAGCUUGUAGAGUCAUACCCAUGAAGACUCGAGGCUGUAGUCGCUGCCAAAGGUGCGUCAACAAAGUACUGAGUAAAGGGUCUGAAUACUUAUGUUAAUGUGAUAUUUCAGUUUUUAUUAUUUUUUUAUACAUUUUCAAACAUUUCUAAAAACCACCUUUUGCUUUGUCAUCAUGGAGUAUUGUGUUUAGAUUGAUGAGGGAAAAACACAACUUAAUCCACUUUAGAAUAAGGCUGUAACAUAGCAAAAUGUGUAAAAGGUCAAGGGGUCUGAAUACUUUCCGAGUGCACUGUACAUUUAUUCAAAAUUUUAGGAAAAGCAGCAGAGAGAGAGAGAGAGAGAGAGAGAGAGAGAGAGAGAGAGAGAGACAGAGAGACACAGAGAGAGAGAGAGAGAGAGAGAGAGAGACACA